AUAUCACGUUGGAACACCGGUUUUCGUAUGAUCACCGAAUUUAAGCAACAUCGAGCCUGGUCAGUACCUAGCUGGGUGACCACUUGGGAAUAUUAGAUGC
rnacentral:rRNA from 1 species